rnacentral:rRNA from 1 species
AUUGAACGCUGGCGGCAGGCCUAACACAUGCAAGUCGAGCGAGCGGCGGACGGGUGAGUAAUGUAUGGGGACUGCCCGAUCGAGGGGGAUAACUACUGGAAACGGUGGAUAAUACCGCAUACUAUCGGAUAACCCAUACGGGAUUAGGUAGUAGGUGGGGGAAAGGCUCACCUAGGCGACGAUCUCUAGCUGGUCUGCGAGGCUGAGCAGCCAAACUGGGACUGGUACACGGCCCAAACUCCUACGGAUGCAGGAGUGGGGAAUAUUGCCCAAUGGGCGCAAGCCUGAUGCGACCAUGCCGCGUGUAUGAAGAAGGCCUUAGGGUUGUAAAGUACUUUCAGCGGGGAGGCGUUACCCGCAGAAGAAACACAGGCUAACUCCGUUCCAGCCGCCGCGGUAAUUCC